UACGUAGGGUGCAAGCGUUAAUCGGAAUUACUGGGCGUAAGGCGUGCGCAGGCGGUUGUGCAAGACCGAUGUGAAAUCCCCGGGCUUAACCUGGGAAUGGCAUUGGUGACUGCACGGCUAGAGUGUGUCAGAGGGGGGUAGAAUUCCACGUGUAGCAGUGAAAUGCGUAGAUAUCUGGAGGAACACCGGUGGCGAAGGCGGCAUCCUGGACCAACACUGACACUGAGGAGCGAAAGCCAGGGGAGCAAACGGG
rnacentral:rRNA from 1 species